UUCCAAGAGAAUGGAAUUCAACAAAGUGAUAUGGUUGAAACCAAGCUAGAGAAUCUGUCAGUGGAAGAGACAGAAAGCAGAGAAGAGAAAAGCUUAGUUCCAAUUUCUAAUGAGGAACCUCGAAGACUCAGUUCUCAAAGAAAUGAAACACCACGGCUAGUAGAUUUCCUUAAAGGUAUGAAUUAUGGUGCACAUGACAAUGACAGCCAAUCAUUCAGCACACUUCCACAAUUGGCAGAAUACAUAGAGCCUCUGUACGAGACCUUCUUCUGUCCAUUAACAAAGAAAAUCAUGGAUGACCCAGUCACAAUCGAGAGCGGUGCAACAUAUGAGAGAAGAGCUAUAGCUGAGUGGUUUGAGAAAUCUAAAGAUGGUUCAGAGGUUUUAGUUUGUCCAACAACUGGGAUGAAACUACACAAUAGAGUUUUAAACACAAACAUAGCAUUGAAGACCACGAUAGCAGAAUGGAAAGAAAGAAAUGAAGCUACCAGAAUUAGAGUAGCUCGAACUGCUUUAUCAUUAGCCACCUCUGAGGCUAUGGUAUUGGAUGCAAUAAGAGAUCUGCAAAUCCUUGCUCAGAAGAGAAGAUACAACAAAAAGCAGAUGCAUAAUGUUGGCAUUACAAAGCUACUUACACUGUUUCUGGAACAUGAGGACCUGAAGGUCAGGUGUGAAGCAUUGGACAUUUUGCGCUUAUUGGUGGAGGAUGAAGAUGGAAAGGUUUCAUUCUGGGAACUUCAUGCUUACAUAUUAUUUGGGCCCAGUCCUUGCUAAUGAGAGCAAUAUCCAAAAAUAGAUAAUCUUGUUCAUGCAAGAGGAAAAUCUUCCAUGGACUAAGGAUUAACUUGCUGAUUGCUAAAACCUCUUUUGCCCAAUAAAGGCAACCAUGUCCGUAGGAACGCAUAUUUUCAUAAGCCUCUGAGCCACCAAGUAGUUUUCUGAGUGAAGAGACUUAUUUAAGUAGAACCAUUCAGGGUAAUCAUGCUCUUUUUUUUGGCUGCUACUAUAAUUGGAAAAAGAUCAAAACCUGUGACCAAUAUUUUGCAUAGAAAAGAGUCAGAUAGUCAGGAACCAUAAUAGUGAAGCUCUUCCUCUUGCAUGAAAGAAAGCUGGUCUCAUUUUUCCUAGAAAAAGCAAUAUUAACAUAAUUUUUCUUGAUAAAAGAAAUGCUAACAUAAUUUAAAUCUGCUAAUAAGCUAACAAAGUUACAGCUAAUGCAGCAAUAAUUGAUUUUCAAGUCAAAUAUGAACUUCAAGAAAAUAGAGCAACAACAAGAGAGGUAAUGCAACAAUUCAUAUUGAUAGUCCGUAAAGCUAUAAUCUCUCUUUUUCUUAAAGCAGGUUAUAUCCAUUCAGCAUUAUGCAUCAUUGGCAGAAUUAAGCAAAGCCUGAUCGUAAAUGGUAACCAAGAUGCUCUGCACUUUCACUCAAAAGAUGAAUGGUCUAAAAGAAGCAAGAAAUAACCAAAACUAUAAAAGAAUCAGCAAUACAAAAGAAAAGAAACACUCCAAGAGACAAAAAGUUGAUUGUCCAAGAAAACACUUUAUCGAUUAAUAAUUGUAGGACAAGCCAACUAGUUAAUUAGGUCUUUGUUCCGAAAUAUAUUCUCAUUAAUGGCUUCAUAUUUUGCAGGUAAUCAUUGCAAAAACGAAAGCCAUUGCAGAAACAAUCAAGAUGCUGUCAAGCAACUACUCCUCAGAGAGGCAUGCAUCUCUUGCAUUCCUGUUAGAACUUUCGAAAUCUGAACUGCUAUUGGAAAACAUUGGAUCUACCGCUGGGUGUAUACUGAUGCUGAUUACAAUGAAAUAUAAUGAGUCUACUGAUGCAUUUGCUGCUGAGAAAGCUGCAGAAACACUAAAGAACAUGGAGAAAUGUCCAAAGAAUAUCAAGCGCAUGGCAGAAAAUGGCCUCUUAGAACCCCUUCUGAACCAUCUUGUUGAUGGUAAAUCACGUAACCCACUCUUUAUUUCCGAAUACAUUUGUCGGUGCAUGAAUAUACAAUAAAGGCUCAAAAGCAAAACAUACAAUUAGGUGAUAAAAAGACGAAGCUGAUGUCUGAUGGUAAAGGAUCACAUGUUCAUCAGUCAAAAGUGCAAAAUUAACAUGGCAUAUACUAUGUCUUAAUUAAUUCUGAAUAAUAGGGUUUAACAUUUAUACAUGCCAAAAGAAGGAUGAUAUAAAGACGGAUGUUAUGCAAUAACAAUGACAUCCACCUUAAUUUACCAGUUAUAACUUCCUUCCACCAAAUUUACCUUGGAUGCUUCACCUUUGAAGUACAUUUGACAAUUGGGCAUGACACUUCUUUUCGUAGAAAUUCAAAUUCAAGAGUUUUGGAGUAUCUAUUAUUUUAUAAAAAACUUACAAUAUGUUCAUUAACUUGCAUAUUAUAAAACUCACCUCUACAUGGAUUAAUGAUGCAAUGGAUUUCUCAUCCAAUCUUUUGAUAUUUGGAAAUAAAAAGAAAACAUUAAAUUUCAUAUUUUACACACUUUAGAAGCUCACAUGUUGGACAUCUGACACAGCACAUGAUUUGCCUGCCACAAUGGAAGUUUAAACUAAGCUCUUAGAUCCAGAAUUGCAAUUUUUAGUGAAAUAUCAACUAGGUUCAAGAUUUUGAUAGGCAAGCAAAACAGACUUCAAGUGGGGCAAAAAAUCAAUACAACAUUUUUGGAUAUAUAAUUUGCAUAAAACAGUGCUAGUGAAAGCAGGACUGUCACCAACAUAUGUGUAAUAAUCUCAAUGAUCUAUUUCCAAUUAUAGCAUUACACUAACAAUCAACAUUUUCUCUAACAUCUAACUUCCACAAACACAUGAACAUAGGCUCAGAAGAGGUGCAGAUGGAGAUGGUAAGCUACCUCGGUGAAUUUGUUCUCGAGCACGACAUGAAAACACGUGUUGCAGAGAGGACCUCGGAGGCCCUGAUCAAAAUGGUCCACAGUGGGAA
rnacentral:lncRNA from 1 species